UACGGAGGGUGCAAGCGUUAUCCGGAUUCACUGGGUUUAAAGGGUGCGUAGGUGGGCAGGUAAGUCAGUGGUGAAAUCUCCGGGCUUAACCCGGAGACUGCCAUUGAUACUAUCUGUCUUGAAUACCGUGGAGGUGAGCGGAAUAUGUCAUGUAGCGGUGAAAUGCUUAGAUAUGACAUAGAACACCAAUUGCGAAGGCAGCUCACUACACGAAUAUUGACACUGAGGCACGAAAGCGUGGGGAUCAAACAGG
rnacentral:rRNA from 1 species